rnacentral:rRNA from 1 species
AACGAACGCUGGCGGCAGGCUUAACACAUGCAAGUCGAACGGGUGUAGCAAUACAUCAGUGGCAGACGGGUGAGUAACACGUGGGAACCCUCCUAGAGGUACGGAACAACUCAGGGAAACUUGAGCUAAUACCGUAUACGCUCGUGAGAGGAAAGAUUUAUCGCCUUUAGACGGGCCCGCGUCGGAUUAGCUAGUUGGUGGGGUAACGGCCUACCAAGGCGACGAUCCGUAGCUGAUCUGGGAGGAUGAUCAGCCACACUGGAACUGAGACACGGUCCAGACUCCUACGGGAGGCAGCAGUGGGGAAUCUUGGACAAUGGGCGCAAGCCUGAUCCAGCCAUGCCGCGUGAGUGAAGAAGGCCUUCGGGUUGUAAAGCUCUUUUGUCAGGGACGAUAAUGACGGUACCUGAAGAAUAAGCCCCGGCAAACUUCGUGCCAGCCGCCGCCGUAA